rnacentral:rRNA from 1 species
UACAGAGGGGGCAAGCGUUAUUCGGAAUUAUUGGGCGUAAAGGGCGCGUAGGCGGCUUGGCAAGUGGAAGGUGAAAUCCCUCGGCUUAACCGAGGAACUGCCCUCCAAACUGCUUCGCUUGAGACCGGGAGAGGUGAGUGGAAUUCCCAGUGUAGCGGUGAAAUGCGUAGAUAUUGGGAGGAACACCAGUGGCGAAGGCGGCUCACUGGACAACUCCUGACACUGAGGCACGAAAGCUAGGGGAGCAAACAGG